CAGUCGCCGCGGUAAUACGUAGGGUGCGAGCGUUAAUCGGAAUUACUGGGCGUAAAGGGCGCGUAGGCGGCCAUUCAAGUUAGAUGUGAAAGCCCUGGGCUCAACCUAGGAAUUGCAUUUGAUACUGUUUGGCUUGAGUUCGGGAGAGGUGAGUGGAAUUCCCAGUGUAGAGGUGAAAUUCGUAGAUAUUGGGAAGAACACCAGUGCGAAGGCGACUCGCUGGACAAGUAUUGACGCUGAGGUGCGAAAGCGUGGGGAGCAAACAGGAUUAGAUACCCGCGUAGUCCCUGUCUCUUAUACA
rnacentral:rRNA from 1 species